rnacentral:tRNA from 1 species
GGGCCCGUAGUUUAGCCCGGUAUAACGCAUCGUUGACGUCGAUGAGGUCGCCAGUUCAAAUCUGGCCGGGCCCA